GUUUGUAUUAUGGUGAACCCGAUACUAUGUUGUCUUGUUUGGUGUAAAUUACUGGUUUACAUAUUUGUGUAUGAUUGGAUGAUUGAGACCAAGAAAAAUGGCAAAAAGGUUAUGUGAAUUGAUAAGUGGAUAAUGUGGACAGCCUAACCAGAUAUCCUGGGAGAUGGUGGACGGACCGGGUCCCUAGGGAACCCUAUCGGGCUGCUCUGCCACAGUACCACCUGGCACCACUGCCGCAGUAUAACCCGGUGCCCCAGCCACGAUACUACCCGGCACCGCCACAGUACAGUC
rnacentral:lncRNA from 1 species